rnacentral:misc_RNA from 1 species
GCAUUUUAUAGGUCACAGAAUUUUUGAGGGCAAUGGAGGCUAUAGGUAAAAAGAUUGUCUUCAGCUAUAUUAACUUUGCACUACAUUGACGGAUACACAUUGUUGUUCCAGUUCUGUGUACCUUUGUAAGCUACAUUUUGGGUAAUGGCUGGUGUAUCACUGUAUUAUCCCCUUAUUCAAAGUCUGUAAGAGGGAUAACUUGUAGAUAAUCUAGCAUCACUGUCCAGACCCUCUUGUGUGGCCUCACGUGAUGUCACUCAUAUCUCCUUCUCUUAAAUAACUCAAUUUCUAUAUUCUUAUUUUG